rnacentral:rRNA from 1 species
UAGGGAAUUUUCCACAAUGGGCGAAAGCCUGAUGGAGCAAUGCCGCGUGAGAGAAGAAGGCCUUAGGGUUGUAAAUCUCUGUUGUAAGGGAAGAAAGCCAUGUAGAGGAAAUGCUAUGUGAGUGACGGUACCUUACCAGAAAGCCACGGCUAACUACGUGCCAGCAGCCGCGGUAAUACGUAGGUGGCGAGCGUUAUCCGGAAUUAUUGGGCGUAAAGGGUGCGCAGGCGGUAAUACAAGCUUGUGGUUAAAGAAUGGAGCUUAACUCCAUAGUGCCAUGAUAACUGUAUAACUAGAGUGCAGAAGAGGAGAGUGGAAUUCCAUGUGUAGCGGUGAAAUGCGUAGAUAUAUGGAGGAACACCAGUGGCGAAGGCGACUCUCUGGUCUGAAACUGACGCUG